rnacentral:rRNA from 1 species
GACGAACGCUGGCGGCGUGCUUAACACAUGCAAGUCGAACGGUAAGGCCCUUCGGGGUACACGAGUGGCGAACGGGUGAGUAACACGUGGGUGAUCUGCCCUGCACUUCGGGAUAAGCCUGGGAAACUGGGUCUAAUACCGGAUAGGACCACUGCCUGCAGGGGUGGGGGUGGAAAGCUGUUGCGGUGUGGGAUGGGCCCGCGGCCUAUCAGCGUGUUGGUGGGGUGAUGGCCUACCAAGGCGACGACGGGUAGCCGGCCUGAGAGGUUGACCGGCCACACUGGGACUGAGAUACGGCCCAGACUCCUACGGGAGGCAGCAGUGGGGAAUAUUGCACAAUGGGCGCAAGCCUGAUGCAGCGACGCCGCGUGAGGGAUGACGGCCUUCGGGUUGUAAACCUCUUUCAGCACCGACGAAGCGCAAGUGACGGUAGGUGCAGAAGAAGGACCGGCCAACUACGUGCCAGCCGCCGCGGUAA